rnacentral:rRNA from 1 species
AAUGAACGUUGGCGGCGUGGAUUAGGCAUGCAAGUCGCGCGAUUUCCUUCGGGGAAGAGCGGCGGAAGGGAGAGUAACGCGUAGAUACCUACCCUCGGGACUGGAAUAGCGACGGGAAACUGUCGGUAAUGCCAGAUAACGUCCCUGGACCAAAGGUGUGAAUCCGCCUGAGGAGGGGUCUGCGUCCUAUUAGCUAGUUGGCGGGGUAACGGCCCACCAAGGCGAAGAUGGGUACCGGGCGUGAGAGCGUGACCCGGCUCACUGGGACUGAGACAAUGCCCAGACACCUACGGGUGGCUGCAGUCGAGAAUCUUCGGCAAUGAGCGCAAGCUUGACCGAGCGACGCCGCGUGCGGGAUGAAGGCUUUCGGGUUGUAAACCGCUGUCAGUGGGGAGGAAAUUCUUGGGGGUACUCCCCCUUGAUUGACCGAUCCGCAGAGGAAGGACGGGCUAAGUUCGUGCCAGCCGCCGCGGUAAUAC